rnacentral:lncRNA from 1 species
AGUGUGAUAGGGUAAUGACCAAAAUGGUGUGCUUUAAUUGUGUCUUUGAUCACAAGGUAAUAAUCAAAACGGUGAGCUUUGAUUCUUUGGUGUGAUGGUAAAUAAGAUGAAUUAUUGUUUUUUUACCAAAAAGGAAGAUAAGUUAUUGUUUCUCCUUAAGAAAUGGCAAAUGAUUUGGAUAAAAUCUUGGACCGUCUUAUAAUAACAUAUGCUUCGUCUUGGUUGGUCUUGAACUUUUGUUUCAUCUCCUUGUCUUUAAGUUUAAAUUCUUUUAAGACUUCUAUUUGACUAGUCCUGAGUUGGUGUGCCUUUUGUAGAGAACUAUUAUUUUCUUUCUGAUUAAUUAAAUACUCCACAUUUGGUUGAAUUCUUCUCUUGAUAGUUGAUAACUUGAUAUCGACAUUCUAGUUGUGUGUGUGUGUGUCGUUGGGCGUUGACAUUUGUGGUUCUAUGUCUUCAUCACAAGCAGUGCAUUUACGCACAUUAGGACCUAGCUUUUUAUAACAUUAACGAGAAAAAUCGCAUAAAAACCUUCAAAGUGUUAUUUACUAGUAUCAUUUUAAACUUUGAUGUUUUUUACUAAUAUUUUUAAUUUUCAAACUGACAAUUGUAUCACAAAAAAAUUUCAAAAUAAAAGAAAUGACGAAUAGUACAUGUAAAAGGAAAUCUUGCUCCUUUUCAAAAAAAAAAACUAAAAGGAAAAGUUUGAAAUUUUGAAACACUUGAGUACGUAUUAUC